UGCCUACGGGAGCAGCAGUGAGGAAUAUUGGUCAAUGGCCGGAAGGCUGAACCAGCCAAGCCGCGUGAAGGACGAAGGUGCCAAGCAUUGUAAACUUCUUUUGUCAAGGGACAAAAUCAGGCUCGAGAGCCUGACCGAGGGUACUUGAAGAAAAAGCAUCGGCUAACUCCGUGCCAGCAGCCGCGGUAAUACGUAGGUGGCAAGCGUUAUCCGGAUUUAUUGGGUGUAAAGGGCGUGUAGGCGGGAAUGCAAGUCAGAUGUGAAAACUAUGGGCUCAACCCAUAGCCUGCAUUU
rnacentral:rRNA from 1 species